rnacentral:lncRNA from 1 species
CAUCAUACAGGCAAAUAAGAAGGGGACAUUCUCCUGAGGUACCCAGCAGAUGAAUGCCAGAUGGGCAGAACUCAGACAAGCAUCUUAAUGCAAACAUCGAAGUAACUGAAAUGUGAAGCUGGAAAUCCAGAGAAUUCUCCAAAAGCUUUAAGUAGCUUUUUAGGCUUCAUUCAUGUUGGGCCUAAUGGAUCCUCAAAGGGGAGAAUGGUUUAUCAAAGACAAGCAUUUUAAGUACCUCGUGUUUAUGUGGGUAGCUGGUGUUGAAAACCAAACAGAAGGUAAUGACAGACCACAGCAAGCUGUCUGUUGCUGCAGAUGGAGGAUACCUCUAGGAUUUGGGUCAGAAAACACUUGGCAAGCAUCCCUCUGAAUUCUUCUUGUCACAUGUUGAAGAAGCCUGCUUAGUGGCAGGGGUGAAGAAGGAAGCAGAAAUCUUAAAAUGGCUGCAAUACGAAUUUUUUUUUGUUUUAUUUUUGUUCAGCAUCGGAGCUAUUUACAGCGUAUCUUGCCAAUUUAUUCAUACUGUUGCUGUCAUGGGUUUUCCUGAUUCUCUGCUUUCAGGACCUCCCCCCGCCCCGUGAUCCCAUUUAGGUCUGCAGUGGCAGGAGAAACGAGAGUUACUUAUGCCUCGUUUUAGAAUGGGACCUUGCAGAGAAGGUCUAAGAAGCCAUUUGUUUUCUUUAAACAUAGCUCAGCUUUGCACAGGCACUCACACACAUUCAGACGGUUUCUACUUGAAAUUCCUCAUCCAAUACAAAUAGUUCACAGUCUUGACUGUGGAAAGUGAAGGCGCUCCCCUGAC